rnacentral:tRNA from 1 species
GGCACGGUGGCGCAGUGGGUAGCGCUGUCGCCUCACAGUACGAAGGUUGUGAUAUCGAAUCUCGGCUCUGUGCGG